rnacentral:rRNA from 1 species
GACGUAGGGGCCAGCGUUGGUUCGGAAUUACUGGGCGUAAAUGGGCGCGGCAGGCGGCUGCUCAAGUCAGGCGUGAAAGGCCUGGGCUCAACCCGGGAAUUGCGCUUGAGACUGGGCUGGCUUGAGUGCGGGAGAGGAUGGUGGAAUUCCCAGUGUAGAGGUGAAAUUCGUAGAUAUUGGGAAGAACACCGGUGGCGAAGGCGGCCAAUCGUGGACCGCAACGUGAACGCUGAGGCGCGGAAAGCGUGGGGAGCAAACAGGG